rnacentral:sRNA from 1 species
CUAUCUGCGUGGGGCUGAUAAAAUGGAUAUGUGUAUCAAUGCCGCCUGCGGUAACGAUAAGUCCCUCUCCGGCAAUAGCUUCCGUACCUGCGCCGAAAACAAGCGAAGGCGUUACUCCGUCCAUAAUAUCGGGGUUUCCUGCCUUACCGAUGCCGCAGAUCUUGCCGUCCUUGAUACCUAUAUCGGCUUUGUAAAUGCCUGUGUGAUCGACGAUAAGCGCACUUGUGAUGACUGUAUCGGGACAUUCGCUGUCGGGAACGGAGCAGGACUGUCCCAUUCCGUCACG